AUGUAUCUGUCUGUCUGUCUGUCUGUCUGUCUGUCUGUCUGUCUGUCUAGCUACCCAUCUAGCUAUCUUCAUCUAUCUCUCCAUCUCUCUAUCUCUCUAUCUGUCUUUCCAUCUCUCUAUCUAUCUAUCCAUCCAUCUACCCAUCAAUCUCUUAUCUAUCUCUCUAUCUCUAUCUGUCUAUCUCUCCAUCUCUCUCUCUCUCUCUCUCUCUCUCUCUCUCUAUCUGUCUGUCUAGCUAUCCAUCUAGCUAUCUUCAUCUAUCUCUCCAUCUCUCUAUCUGUCUUUCCAUCUCUCUAUCUAUCUAUCCAUCCAUCUACCCAUCAAUCUUUUAUCUAUCUCUAUCUCUAUCUGUCUAUCUCUCCAUCUCUCUAUCUAUCCAUCUAUCCAUCAAUCUCUAUCUCUCCAUCUCCCUGUCUCUCCAUUUAUCUAUCCAUCUAUCUAUCUAUCUAUCUAUCUAUCUAUCUAUCUAUCUAUCUAUCUAUCUAUCAUCUAUCUAUCUGUCUGUCUGUCUGUCUAUUUAUCUAUCUGUCUGUCUGUCUGUCUAUCUCUCUCUCUCUAUCUGUCUAUCUGUCUGUCUGUCUAUCCAUCCAUUUAUCUAUUACAAUAGGAGCUUCAGUGAGAAAGACAGGGCAGGUAGGGACUUUUUGUGCAUCCAGGACACACCAAUAAUUGUGAUUUAUAUAUAUAUAUAUAUAUAUAUAUAUAUAUAUAUAUAUAUAUAUAUAUAUAUAUAUAUGGAUUGGGCACUUCUAGGAUGUAUAGUAGUUGAAAGAACAUUGUACUUUCUAACACUGUAGUAAUUUAGAUUCAGAAACAAAGGGACUUCAUACAUAAUUGAGUCAGUCCCCUUCUUUUCAUAGAUUAGGCAAUUGAGGCAAAUAACCUUUACUGUCAGAAGAUUCAGGAGAACCACACUCAAGUCCUGAUUCUGCUACUUUUAAACUAUGUGACCUUUGGUAAAUUUGCUUCCCCUUCUCUGGGCCUCAGUUUCCCUAACUGAAAAAUGAGGGGCUUGAAGUAGAUGAACUCAAAGAUCUCUCCAUCUUUAGCUCCUGCAAAAAUGAUUUCCCUUUAGGUUUGCCUAUAAAAUGAGAGGUAUUUUUUCUUCCUUCUUUAAUGAGUAAUAAUGCCUUAUACUUACUUAGUUGUUCUAAAAUUGUUUUUCAGGGUAACAUUCACUCCCCCCACCCCCAGCAGCUCUCUUUAUCUGUGCUUGUUCAUUUGGGCCUGGAGGCAAUGGGAAUUUGCAGGAAGCUUCCUCUCUCUGUAUUUGGGAACAGAUUUUGCCUCAUUAUAUAUCCUUUCAUGGUCCCUUGUUCAGAGAGCUCCCUGGCUGGUUAGCUGAGUGGCAAUAGGCUCAUUUCCUGACCAUUUUCUGGGGGGAGGGGGAAAGUGUUAGCUCAAGGCUGCAUGGCUCCUUUUAGGAAAAACACUCCACUGGAGUCAUAAAUUCCAGUUAAUCUCCUUGGCCUAUUCCCCUAAAGAGGUGGGAUGACUCUUUGACUCCAGGAGGGAAGGAAUGUAGGCUGAUCCAGGAGUACACAAGACAUUUGAUGUCCCUGGGACAUUGUGGGGGCCAAGGGAACUGGAACGUCAUGACCUUUAUGUUCUAAUUUGGGUCCUGAACUAACCCUGGUAUGUGAUCUCUCUGGCUAUUUCAGGACCCUUCUCUGCCUCUAGCUCCUUUUGGUGGGAGACUGAGCUUGCCCAGAGCCCUAUUUAACUGGUGGGACAUCCAAGUCACAGAUUUAGAUAGAGAGAAUAGUUUGAGAAGCAGGGGAUGCCAUGGAUCAGGCGCUGUCCUUGGAGUCAGAAGAAUCCUAACAAAGCCUUGUGGAUUGAUGGGUCAAGUUUAAUCCUGCCUCUGACCCGGGCUGUUUGAGCCCAGCCAAGUUAUUUCAGUCCUUAGUUCCUGAGGCCAGGUCGCAAAGUGGGUGCCGAUGAGCAUUGGUGGGAGACCAUUCCUCAGUGGGGGUUCCCUAUAAAUAAAAUAAAA
rnacentral:lncRNA from 1 species